rnacentral:rRNA from 1 species
UCAAGCGUUUAAGGGCGUGUAGUGGAUGCCUUGGCACUGAAAGCCGAUGAAGGACGUGAUAUACUGCGAUAAGUUUCGGGGAGCUGUAUGUAAGUUUUGAUCCGAAAAUUUCCGAAUGGGGAAACCCACCACUUUAUGUGGUACUUUAAACUGAAUUCAUAGGUUUAAAGAGACAACCUGGAGAACUGAAACAUCUAAGUAACCAGAGGAAAAGAAAUCAAUUGAGAUUCCGUUAGUAGUGGCGAGCGAACGCGGACUAGGCCAGUAGUUUUGUUAAAAAAAUUUGAAUAGUUUGGAAAUGCUAACCAUAGAGGGUGAUAGUCCCGUAUGAGUAAUGUUUAACAAAAUUCUUGAGUAAAGCGGGACACGUGAAAUCCUGCUCGAAUAUAGGGGGACCACCCUCUAAGCCUAAAUACUCUUCAGUGACCGAUAGUGAACUAGUACCGUGAGGGAAAGGUGAAAAGAACCCCUAUUAGGGGAGUGAAAUAGAACCUGAAACCGCAUGCCUACAAUCAGUCGAAGCUCUUUUUAGAGUGACGGCGUACCUUUUGUAUAAUGGGUCAGUGACUUAAUUUAUUAAGCAAGCUUAAGCCAUCUAGGUGUAGGCGUAGCGAAAGCAAGUCUUAAUAGGGCGAUUAGUUUAAUGAAUUAGACCCGAAAACGAAUGAGCUUACCAUGAGCAGGUUGAAAGUUGGGUAACACCAACCGGAGGACCGAACCAGUUGACGUUGAAAAGUCUUUGGAUGACUUGUGGUAAGGGGUGAAAGGCCAACCAAAUUCGUAGAUAGCUGGUUUUCCGCGAAAACUAUUUAGGUAGUGCGUUGAAUAAAUAUGCGUUUAGAGGUAGAGCACUAAAUGGGCUAGGGGGAAGAGAUUCUUACCAAACCUAAUAAAACUCCGAAUGCUAAGUAUUGUUCUUCAUCAGACAGACUGUGGGUGCUAAGGUCCAUGGUCGAGAGGGAAAGAGCCCAGACCACCAGAUAAGGUCCCCAAAUUAUGAUUAAGUGUGAAAGGAUGUGGAAAUUCCUUAACAGCCGGGAGGUUGGCUUAGAAGCAGCCAUCCUUUAAAGAUAGCGUAACAGCUCACCGGUCUAAUAGAGUUUCUGCGCCGAAGAUGUAACGGGGCUAAAAUCAUAUACCGAAUCUGUGGGUUUAUAAAAUUUUCGAAUUUUAUAAGCGGUAGCGGAACGUUCUGUAAGCCUGUGAAGGGAUACCCGUGAGGGAUCCUGGAGGUAUCAGAAGUGCGAAUGCUGACAUAAGUAACGAUAAAAGAAGUGAAAAACUUCUUCGCCGAAAAUCCAAGGGUUUCUGCGCAAGGUUAAUCCGCGCAGAGUUAGUCGGCACCUAAGGCGAGGGCGAAAGCCGUAGUCGAUGGAAAUAAGGUUAAUAUUCCUUAACCAGAUGGUAGUGACGGAUCUUGUAAGUUGUGAGUUCUUAAUGGAUUGAACUUGCCGCGAAAAGGUUCCAAGAAAUAGCUCCAUCAUUAGACCGUACCCUAAACCGACACAGGUGGAUUAAUAGAGUAUAUUUAGGCGCUUGAGAGAAUGAUGUUGAAGGAACUCGGCAAAAUGCUUCCGUAACUUCGGGAUAAGGAAGACCUGUUUUUAGGCAACUAGAGAUGGGUGGCACAAGCCAGGGAGAAGCGACUGUUUAUCAAAAACACAGGGCUCUGCUAACACGUAAGUGGAUGUAUAGGGUCUGACGCCUGCCCGGUGCUGGAAGGUUAAUGCGAUGGGUGCAAGCUCAUUUCUGAAGCCCCAGUAAACGGCGGCCGUAACUAUAACGGUCCUAAGGUAGCGAAAUUCCUUGUCGGGU